GAUGAAGAACGUAGCGAAAUGCGAUACUUGGUGUGAAUUGCAGAAUCCCGUGAACCAUCGAGUCUUUGAACGCAAGUUGCGCCCGAAGCCGUCAGGCCGAGGGCACGCCUGCCUGGGCGUCACACGCCGUUGCCCCCCCGCGCCCCGCACCCAACUCUUUGGGAGCGACCGCGGGGCGGGCUGAUGAUGGCCUCCCGUGCGCUCCGCCGCGCGGUUGGCCCAAAUACCGAGUCCCCGGCGACGUGCGCCACGACGAUCGGUGGUUGAGAGACCUCUGUCGCAAGUCGUGCGCGCCCGUCGCGUCACGCGGGCUCGCAUAGCGCCUCGCGCCGCACCCGGUGCGGAGCUUUCAACGCGACCCCAGGUCAGGCGGGGUUACCCGCUGAAUUUAAGCAUAUCAAUAAGCGGAGGC
rnacentral:misc_RNA from 1 species